GACGAACGCUGGCGGCGUGCUUAACACAUGCAAGUCGAACGGAAAGGCCCUGCUUGCAGGGUACUCGAGUGGCGAACGGGUGAGUAACACGUGGGUGAUCUGCCCUGCACUUCGGGAUAAGCCUGGGAAACUGGGUCUAAUACCGGAUAGGAGCCAUUUUUAGUGUGAUGGUUGGAAAGUUUUUUCGGUGUAGGAUGAGCUCGCGGCCUAUCAGCUUGUUGGUGGGGGAAUGGCCUACCAAGGCGGCGACGGGUAGCCGGCCUGAGAGGGUGGACGGCCAAAUUGGGACUGAGAUACGGCCCAGACUCCUACGGGAGGCAGCAGUGGGGAAUAUUGCACAAUGGGCGCAAGCCUGAUGCAGCGACGCCGCGUGGGGGAUGACGGCCUUCGGGUUGUAAACUCCUUUCGCUAGGGACGAAGCUUUUUGUGACGGUACCUAGAUAAGAAGCACCGGCUAACUACGUG
rnacentral:rRNA from 1 species